AAAUUCUAGUCAGCAAACUGCCACAUCAAUAGACUAAAAAUCAUCUUAAUUUCAUUUUACAAGAGUUAAAAUAUAUCACAUAUAUUUAUAAGAGUUAAAAUAUAUCAUAGAAUAUUUUAAAAGUUUAGAAUGAUAUGAGGUUUUUUCAGUAAAUUUCAUAUGUGAAAUAGUUUAAUGUCAAUAAAUAUUUUACAUUUACUAUUAUACAUACUCAUAAAGCUCAAUUCCAGCCGUCCAUGUUUCUUCUCUUGCUAAAACUAUAGUGGCUUGACCCAAAUUCAGGGCUGGGAUGCAUCAGUUCUUAUUGAUGGACCAAACUCAGAGAAAACUGCAACACAAAAUUAGGGGCUGGGUGGAUUUGCAUUCAUUGACAAAAUCAAAGUUCUUCAACAAAGGUGCCCAGGAAUCUUUCCUUGUGUUGACAUUCUUAAUCUAGCUACCAGGGAUGCUGUUCAUUUGAUUAAAAAAAAAAAUCCUCCACUUCCUACCUUUCCUGAUACAACAAAAAUUGGGGAAAUAUUCCCAAUGCAUAAAUCCAAAUGAUAAAAAUGAAAACCCAUCAAUCAGUUUCAUUUCAAAUAACUGUUGCUUUGCAGUACAUCUAAUCAAAAUUUAUAUCUUUAUUUUUUAAAAAACAUUAAAAAAAUUCUAUCAAGAAACAUAAAGUAUAGGAUAAUGCUAAAGGAAUAUGCUAAAGGAAUAAUCAAUGCAAUUGAUGAUUAUUAUGUGCACUAAAAAUUUUCAUGAUGUAUAUUAUAAUAAUCCAAUGAACCUAAAGGCAGGUGCACCAUCUUAUCUUUGCUUCAGUAGACCUCCCAUCACCCUCCAUCUCAAUGAGAAACGCAUUGGCUCACUUCAAAUCUAAUUUCACCAAACUAAAGAAAAAAUACAAUCUAAUCUAAUCUGCAAAAUCAUGGAGCCAGUUCAGUGAAUUUUCCAUUAAGCUAACAAUGUUAGUAGCUACCCGUACUAUAAGCCCUGUCUAAUAAGAUCCUGCUCAUUUUCCCGUCAAAUCACAAUCAGCAUGAGUUUUUUAGUACAACAGGGUCACACUCACCGGGCAAAACCCAUGGUCGCUUUGUCGAGGACCAGCUGUACAAUUACAGUAACACAGGACAGGAAAGUCAGACCAAAACAUGGACCCAGCAUUUGCAGCUGAAACGAGAAAGCUAUGUCCACCCAGACCCAGAAAGGUCAAUCUGAUCCUCUGGUGUUUCUAAAUCCUGAUUCUGGCUCUAACUACAAAUUCACCGAGUCUUUUUGUCCUACAAAUCUCUCCUUCGAGUUUAUGAGCAGCUGCUAUUUAGUAAUGACACCUAGAGAUCACACAAGAAUUUGCUGCUUGUUUUAAGGACUUGAGAAAUUCAUUUGCACUAUCAAUGAAUGGGAUGGGAAGCAUCAAUGUUCUAACAGGAAAUGCAGGAGAGACACCGGAAUUGCCAGGUAAUAAAAAAUAAAUAACAGAACACCACCUAAGAUAUUAUCUUCAUAAGGAUAGAUUCUUCAACAAAAAAAUUUCAGCAAUACGAUCCAUUAAAUGGUAUUGUUUUGCAUCAGGCAUAGAAGCAAAAACCAAAAAUAAUAGAAUCAUGCAUAUGAACAGUCUGUUCCCGUCCGCAAAUAAAAUUACAUAACCAAUACUUAAUUCACAAAGUUGAUUUUUUAAUGUUUAGACCCUCUACAGUCAUUUGACCAUGUUGUCUCCAAAAAUUGAGUUACUAGUCAAUUUCAUAGAUAAACAAAAGGGCAGGGAUAAAAAUUGCCAACACAAGUUGCUUUCUAUAUGUAUGGUAUAAUAAAAUUUGCGAAGGAAAAAUACAAUAUGUAUUUGCCUAACCUGUCAGAAGUGCCCAUGGUAGAAAAUUUAUCAGGAACCAGAUGCACCAAAAAAAAAAAAAAAAACUUUUCAUUAGUCUCAUAUAUGCAUCAUUAUGGGUCAUCUUGCUGUAGCGUGUUGGAUUUCGUUGUUAUUAUUAUUUUUAUUAUUUGUAAUUUCAUCGUCCGGCAAUGGUAACGCUGUUGUCCUCAUCACUUUCAAGAAUUCCCUUACUAUUUGGUGGGGCUUUACAAUUGGAACAAGUUGGUUAAUCCAUGCAAUUGGGCUGGUUUGCAUUAUAGAGAUGAUGCCAUUGAUAAGUAAACUCUGGAGAACAUGGGCCUUUCAGGCAAGAUGAUGUAGACUUCCCCAUCUAGUUGCCUAAGUUGAGAGCCUUGAGCUUCAAGAAUAACAGCUUCAAGGACCCAUUGCCUCAUCAGUUGAAUAAACUCGCUUCAUUGAGGACCUUGUACUUGUCCUUGAACAAAUUCUCAAGGAAACUUGCUGACGAUGCUUUUGCUGGAAUGCUUUUAUUAAGAAACAAAUGAGGAACUGCAGGCUAUUAAAUAUCACAACUGUGGAGGUCUUUCUGGCGAGCUAUGUGUGGCUUGGGAUGACAUCUGUGGUGUGGAAAUUGCUGCUGCUAAUGUGUUUUUCAUUCAUAUUUGUUAAAGAUGUUAGCUUAUCCCUUCAAUGGGAUCUUUUGUUUUUGCAUGUCAGUUGUGAUGAAGAAUUAAAUAAAGCCCAAUUUGAUUAUCUUCUAGAGUAAAAUACUCAGCUUAAUGUUGGUUUCCUUUUAGUGGGUGAUUUUAAUGCUUUCCUUUCUUAUAAAUGAGAGAUUAGGAGGGGAUGGCAGCUCUAGAUCAAAGAUGGCUCUCUUCUAAUGCUUUGUUCAAAAUAUGGGGAAUAUUGGCUUGGGCUUCUCAGGACCUAUGAUGACAUGGAAUAAUAGGAGGAAUGGGUUAUCAAAUGUUAAGGAACGCAUUGAUAGGGCAUUAGCUUCAACAGAUUGGAUGUCUAACUAUCCCCUUGCCACAGUUACUCAUUUGGAGGAUAGAGGCUCUGAUCAUAGGCCUCUUCUUCUCAAUCUAAAGAUGGUAUCUCUAAAGCCAAAGAGGCAUUUCUACUUUGAUGCGAGAUGGACGAGAUCUAGGGAAGCGUCUGAUAUUGUCUCAACAGUUUGGGCUAAUAAUCAAGAUAUAAUUUCCAUUAAAUUUGUCCGAACAAAGCUAAAUCAGUGUAAAAGUGCCUUGAUGGAGUGGAAUAGAAGAACAAAUCACAGCUCCAAUGCCCGCAUUAAUUAUCUUCAGCGGCAACUUGAUGAGGUUAAAAGAAAAAUGACUAGUUGGGAUGGAGAAUUGAUUUGCAAUUUAGAGAAAGAGCUGGCUAUUGAAUUUAAUUGGGAAGAAUUAUCUUGGGCUUAAAAAGCUAGGCAGGAAUGGUUAAAAGUAAGGAAUAGAAAUACAUCCUUUUUACAUGCCAAGGUGAUCCAGAGGAGAAGGAGGAAUGCUAUAACUAGUCUCCAAGAUAAAUUUGGAAUCUGGAGGCAUGAUUUUAAUGGAAUUACUGACAUUGCUAUUGACUACUUUCGGGAUAUCUACACAUCUUCUAAUUUAACCAAUUUUCAUGAUAUUUCUGAAGGUAUGUCUCCUGGCAUUACUUCUUCCAUGAUUGAUGAGCUUAUUAAACCUAUUUCCAGGGAAGAAAUAAGGAGAGCUGUAUUUGCCAUCCAUCAUACCAAAGCUCCUGGAGUGGAUGGACUCACAGAUCUCUUUUUUCAAAAGUACUGGCAUAUAAUUAGUAAGGAGGCAUGUUAAGCAGUGCAAAAUUUCUUCUACUCUGGGGAUAUGCCAUGCAGCUUCAAUCACACUCUCAUUUCGCUAAUCCCCAAAGCUCCACAGGCAUGAACGAUCUUCUCCCCAUUAGUUUGUGUUUUGUGUUUUAUAAAAUUAUCUCCAAGAUCUUAACCUUCAGAAUGCAGUUAAUUAUGCCAUCCAUCAUCAGCAGUGAACAAAGUGCUUUCACUAAAGGGCAUUUGAUUUCAGAUAAUAUUCUGAUUUGUCAUGAAAUGAUGCAUCAUUUGAAAUCUAAAUCCAAGGGAAGGAACUAUGGGAUGGUGUUUAAAAUGGAUAUCAACAAAGCCUAUGAAUGUAUCUUCAGCAUGUAAUGCAUUGUCUUAGGUUUCAUGAGAAAUGGAUCUCUUGGAUUAUGAGAUGCAUUACCACCGUUUCUUAUACUUUACAGAUUAAUGGGCAUAGAGUUGGGCUUAUUCAUCAUACUAGAGGCUUAAGGUAGGGAGAUCCUCUCUCGCCAUAUUUGUUUUUACUGUGUGCAGAAGAACUUUCUCACAAGCUUGCCUCUUCAAAUUUACAUGGAAUUUCUAUCGCUAGACACGCUCCAGCAAUCACUCAUCUCCUUUUUGCAGAUGACUCGGUUAUAUUCUCUAAGGCAACUAGGAGAGAAGCCCAUAAAAUCUUGGACAUUCUCCACUCUUAUUCUCAGGCCAGUGGUAAAACAAUCAAUUAUGCUAAGUCAUCUCUGUUUUUCAGCAAGAACACUCCUAUGGAAGUAAGAUCUGCCAUCUCCCAUACCUUGAGAAUUCAUAAUAUUGGGCGCCAAGAUAAAUUUUUGGGAUUGCCUUCUAUUAUCUCCAAGUCAAAAUAGCAGACUUUUGUGGCAAUCAAAGACAAGAUAAGGAAUAAAUUGGAAAGAUGGAAGGAAAACCUGCUCUCUCAAGGGGGGUAAAGAAACACUUAUAAAAGCUAUGGUGGCUGGCAUUCCAGUAUAUGCAAUGACAUGCUUCAAGCUCCCCAUUUCUCUUUGUUAGGAUAUUAACAUAAUGGUAGCCAACUUUUGGUGGGGACAAAAAUAGGAAGAGAGGAAGCAGCAUUGGACUUCUUGAGAUAAUAUGUGCAUUGGAAAGCAACAUGGUUGGCUAGGGUUUAAAGACUUGAGUUGUUUUGAUCAAGCUCUUCUGGCUUAGCAGGGUUGGAGAAUUAUUAAUGAACUGAAUUCUCUCCUAGCAAGAGUUUUUAAGGGGAAGUAUUUUCCUUAUUCCUCCUUUCUUGAUGUCACAUAUUCAAGUAGUUCCUCUUGGGCAUGGCAAAGUCUGAUGUGGGGGAGGAAAAUUUUGAAGCAAGUUGUUAGGUGGCAAAUGAAUAGUGGGGAAUCCAUGUUAUGCACGGAGGAAAGAUGGAUGCCUAAUUCAUUUCCAAUUUCCCCAGAGUGAGGAAUGAUGCUAAUCCUGAAUUUAAUUGGGCAUCUCAGCUUGUUGAUAGGGACCGCCAUCAAUGGAACUUGCAAGCGUUGCGCAGGUUUUCCAUGAAAUGAGAUUCCUAAUAUUUUAGCAAUCCCUAUAAACAUGGUGAGCUAUUCUGUUAAAUCAGGAUACCACCUAGUUCAUCAAGCUAAAUUACUCCAACACCUAUCUAAUCGAGUUGGUCUGGGUCCCAAUUCUAUCACUACCAACACUGCUUUUUGGAAGAAAAUCUGGCAGCUAAACCUUCCACCUAAAUUGGCAAUUUUUCUAUACCGGUUACUUAAAGAGAAAUUGCCUUUGAACAUGCUCCUCAAAAAUAGAUUCCAAGGCAUGUCAGAAGAGUGUGUGGUCUGUGGUCAAGCAGAAUCUUUAAAGCAUUUUUUUUUUUUCUCAUGUCCAGUUGCUAUGGAAGUUUGGUUAUUUUCCCCAUUCCAACUAAGAUCAUCUUUGUUGGGAGGGCAGUCAAUGUGGGAAUGUUGGUCUGAACUUUACGACUAUUUGGUUGAUCAUGCAGAUGGGAAAAGACUGAUUGAACAAGCAGUUUUCUUCCUAUGGCAUAUUUGGAAGAAUCGCAACCGAAGAAUUUUCAGAGAUACUCUCCUCUCACUCCAUCAGGUCAUUAAUGCUGCCAUUAACCAUUAUAAUGAUUUCCUAGCUAUUUAAGACACCCCAGAGGCUACAGAUGCUCAGCCCCAGCAGGAACAACAAUGGAGCCCUCCUCUCCAAAACACUAUAAAGAUCAACUUUGAUGCAGCUACUUGUAAAAGGAGGAAUACGGGUGCUAUUUCGACUGUGGCCAGAAACUCUUUAGGUCAUAUUCUGGUCUGGAGUUGUAAACGUGUUUAUGGAAUCAUCGAUCCCCUUGUCCUUGAGUGUCUAGCUUGCAGAGAAGCUAUGCUUUUAGCAAGGAAUAGAGGCUUCCAACAGAUUCUGGUUGAAGGAGAUACUCAAGUUACCAUUAACAGUCUCAAUGGAGCGAUAGUCCCUACUAUAAUCCAGGGAACUGUCAAUGACGUCUUAUUUUUUGCUUCUUCCCUUGAGUCUGUUUUUUUCCGUUUUGUUAGACGUUCAGGGAAUAUGACUGCUUAUGCGUUAGCUGCUAGAACCCUGGGUGAUGAUUCUUUUAGUUGUGAUCCUAGUUACCAGAUGUUUUAUGUAAUUGAUUCUUUGCCUUUCUAAGCUUAAUGAAAUUCAUAUUCCGCAAAAAAAAAAAAAAAAAAUUCCUUGACCCAACUUUAUUUGCGAAAUAACAACUUCACAGGGGCAAUACGUCUUCGCUUCUUCGCCUUGCCCAAGCUUGUCAGACUCAACCUUGAGAAUGACAAUUUAAUUAAAGGUCAGAUACCGGACUUUCAACUUCUCAUCGUUUAACAUCUCCAAUUACUAUUUGAACGGUCACAUUCCUACUGCUCUUGCCGGCAUCAAUCCAACCUCUUUUGCAGGUGAUCUUUGCUAUAUGUCUUUUGCAGGGAAUAAUGGCUUAUGUGGAAAGCCGCUGUUUGCAUGCAAAUCCUCCAAGAGGAAACCAUGAUAAUAAUAAUCGUGGUACUAUGCGGUGAGUGUGAUUGCAUUACUGCUUUGGUCGCAUUUGCCUAUCUCCGCAGCCGCCAAACCAAAACGAGCCAGGUGAAGCAGAUCCAAGUCCAAGGGACAAAACCCCAAACCGAAUUUCAAUCGCUUGAUCAUGAUCCUGACCAAAAGGGCGAGUUGCAUUUCAUAAGGAACGAUAGAGAGAGAUUUGACUUGCAAGACCUUCUGAGGGCCUCUGCCAAGAUUUUGGAUAGCAGCAAUUUUGGGUCAUUGUACAAAGUACAUCUUUUAGAUGGGCCUGCUAUGAUUGUGAAGAGGUUUAAGGAAAUGAAAAAUGUGGGAAGGAAGAAUUUCAAGAGCACAUGACUAGGUCUCCAGAAUUCACCCCAAGGUGACCACAUCACAAGCAAGACCGACGUCUUGGAGUCUCGACAUCCUGAUCCUGGAACUGUUAACUAGGAAGUUCCUGGCCAAUUAUCUUAGAUACGGGAAAGGUACCAAUGUUGAUCAGGCUAGUUGGUGAAUUCGAUUGUCAGAGAUGAAUGGAUAGGAGAGGUGUUUGAUAUGGACAAGUGAGCAAUGACUAACGACGAUUUCUCUUUCUCUAUCAAUGGUUGAUUACUGAAGCUUGCUUUACUUUUCCUAUAGGUCAUUUAUGGCAAUUAAUUAGUCCUUGAAUGGAUGAGUCAGGGAUUAUUUGUGUGUUUCCCAAUUUUAUGUUCCUAUUCUUUUAAUGUUUAUUUUGUCCAAUUGACAUCUCUGUUAAUUUAUGGCGCUGAUUCUUACAAUAUCCCUAAUUCAAUCUCGUGAUCUUUUUGUCAAAAAU
rnacentral:misc_RNA from 1 species